rnacentral:lncRNA from 1 species
GAGGAUUGAAAGUUUCUGAAUAUUGUGAAGUGAAUUAUGGAAUAGAAAUGUGAUUGGUAUUAUUUAAGAAGAAGAAAGAUUGAAUUCUAAAAUCUGAUUGUAGUUUAGCAGAGAGAAUGAGUCUGUAUUUGUGUGAAACACUGUAAUGUGAAUGGCAAUUAUAUGUGAAGAAUUUCAGUGAUUGGAACGAGGGUAAUUGUGUGUUGAAAGCUGUGAGGGCGCAAUAUUACAGUUGGAGAUUAUGAGGGUGAAUAUAUUAGUAGAAAUAGCAGUUAUUGGUAUGACUGAAUUGCUGUAAGGAAGAGAUCGAUAAGGUGAAGGAAGAAAUUGUAGUUUCGUUAAGUGUUCAGAUAUUGAAAAUAGAGACGAUACAUUUAGGAGGUAAUUGAUUGUGUGACACUAACGUGAACGCUUAAGCAACUAGUCAUUCCCCAUGUUCGAAUCUCCCUAUACGGGUUUAUGCUAGGAGGUUUCUUCCAGAAUAAGUAAAACGAGCAAUCACAUUUUGGCGCCACUGCCGGGGAGUGAUAAUAGCUUUGAGUGUUAGGAAUUAAUAACCAAAUAUGUGAGAAAAUUGGCAAUGGAAGACGAUUGCAGUAGUGUUUGAAGAAUGAGUAUAGUUAUUAAAAAUGAGAAUUUAACAGAAAAGAGAAUAAAGCAAUUAAAGGAAAGAACAAAGAGAUCACAAGCAAGAAAUUUAUUGCGUAAUGAGCGAGAUCGCAAAUUGAAAAAGAAGCAUCGAAAAAGUUGGAUUAAGCCGUGGUUGCAUGUCUGUCGACAUAUUCGAUCAUACCCAAAAGACGAUCGACCUCUAAUAUUUCAGAAGUACAUACCGUUAAAGAAAUUACCAAGAGCACUUGCGAGAAGCGUUGCUAAUAGUCCAGCAAACCUCUCGAAGCCAUUAACGAAAAACAAGGAAGGCACAGAGGAAUUAGGUACUCCAGUGGAUAUCUUUUCAAUUAGAAAUACGUUCGAUUCUAACAAGACUGGUUCUGAAGAUCGGCAUAAAUCACUUGUUAAUAAAGACCAAUUCAGAGUAUAUCAAAACCUAUCAUUUUUACUUCAUAUUUAACUAGUAAAAUUAUUUGGAGAUAAUAAUAGUCAAUCGGAAAGGCCUGGAAGUCCGAAAAAGACUUUUACGGGAGACAGUUUUUAUUUUAAUAAGAAAUUGAGCAAAACACCGGUAUCUUUAAUGACGUCCGGAGAACCAACAGUUCCAAUUGCAGUUCAAAUGGGUGCAGUGGACGAUCGAACGACUAGCGUCGCGCCAUUACCUACUUUUUGGGGUUUGCCAGGUGCAGAUCUAGAUCAACAUUUCUCUCAAUUCUUGAUGGCGUCUGUAGCCAAUAAUGGAAGAAUAGAAGAUAUUUGGCUGAGAUGGCUGCCAAUAACAUUGAAAGACGCAGCGUUUGAGUGGUAUAACUGCCAACCUGUGGGACAAUUUAUCAAUUGGAAGGCAUUGAAAAAUACAUUUUUAGCCCAUUUUUGACCAAUUGGUUUUGAAGAAUGUCUUAGAGAAAAAUUAAUGAAUAGCAAAAUGGUACCAGGAGAAGCGAUACAGUCAUAUUGUGGUCGUAUAGCGGAUAUACUUCGAAAAUGGCCAAAUAACCAAAUGUCGAAAUCAUUUGUGUUGUCCAUAUUGGUUAAUGGACUACACCCACCAGAAUUGAAAAUGUUUGUAAAGGAGGCCCAAUCAGCCACCAUUGUAUCAUCUCUUGAGCGAGCAAAAGUAUGGGAGGAAUGUCACUAUGACCAGAACUUAACAAUUGGAGCCACGAUGAUUCCAUCUCAAAGAGGUUAUCAAAUGACAAAUUGGAAUGACGCAUCGGGAAGUUAUCUAGGAAGGAAUGAUUAUGGUACAAUUCCACAAGGAAUAGUGGAUGCCGUUCCAUUGCAAGCUAUACCACCAUCAUCAUCACACCCGUAUGCACCUUAUUCCACAUAUCAGAAAUCAAUACCUACAAAGGAAUUGCCAAAUGCAUUGGUAUCAAGGGAUCCGAAUGAGUCAUUGCUGUUAACAUUGACAAAAGAAAUGGAUGAAUUGGCUGUGAAUUUGGCCAAGGAUAAAGAAAAAAGGCAUAAACCAACCAAUAUGCAUCCCAAUGGCUGGUGCAGCAAUUAUAAGGGGCAAGGUUAUUUACUAACAAAAUGUCCUUCACCACCCCAAAUGACUGUACAAUGUACCUUUUGCGGGGGCAAGCAUAUUACCACCAACUGUUGGAAUUUAUGGAAGCAACAACAACUCAAUAACCAGAUAAUGACUCAAUCAACUUUGUGGGAUGUCAAUCAAGUACAGAGAAAUAUUAGGUUUGGCUGGAAUGGAAAUUGAGCGAAUAAGCAAAACAAGAAUUAUUCUAAUUUCUUCAACUCUGAAUUUCACCAAGAAGGUGUAUCUAAUACUCAUGGAUUGGUGAUGAACCAACCAGGAUACCAUCAAUAUCCACCCAUGACAAAGCCAAUGCCAGACUCUACAGUAACAAUGGAUCAACCAGGAUCCUUUAUUCAUCCGAUAUGGAACAGACCUAGCCGUUAUAUACCAGUAAAGACACCCAUUAUCCUUGAAGGAGUUGGCAGGAGACCACUUCGUUGCUAUCGUUGCAGACAAAUCGGACAUUAUGCAACUGAAUGUCCUAAUCCAAGGGCCAGUGAUGACUAUGCUCCAAUAUGUAGAAAUUGUAAGCAAUCUAGUCACAUUUAUCAGCAAAGCAAUGCGCCCUUUAAUUAUAAUAAUCGGGACCAGCAAAUGCAAACAAGCCAACCGACAGAGGACAAAGGCCCUGUUCAAUGAGACUCACCAGUACAUCGUAUUGAAGUGGUGAACGUAGUGCUUACCAGAGGCCAACAAAAAGAUAAGAAUUCAAUUCAAGAUAUGAAUGAACCAAUCAUAGGAGAGCAAGUAGCGCCAUCCACGGGGCUAAACGAACCAAUAUCAGUAUUGUGACAUAUUCCAAUAUUGAGACCUCAACAUACUGAGGAAUCCAAUUUGAUUUCACAUGCCAAUUUUCGGGGACCGUCUAAUCCAGGUCCUGUUACGGGCUUUGUACCCAGUAUGAAACUUGAAUCGGUGGCACAAUCCAAUGAGGUUCUAAUUACGGAGGCUUCAGUUUUGUUCCGAGAAAUUUUGAUCUCUAUACAGUUUCGAGAAAUGUCCUAUCCAUUGAAAGAUCCUCUCGGGGACAAAAAUUCCAAAGAAACCCGACUGCUAUUCCAAUUCCGAGUCCAAGGUAAAAGAAUAUCUUAUUUCAUAGAGUAAAAUCAAAACCAAUGAAACGUAAAAGAGCAUUGGAAAUUACUCUCAAUAUGGAACCCUAUAACAUUCUGAGGGAUUUGGAUGUUAUUUAGCCUUCAAUUAUAAUGAAGCAACUUUUGGCUUUAGCACCAGAAUGUCGAUCUACAUUGAAUUCAGCGUUAAUACGAUGAAGAUCCCACACUAAAGAAAUUCAUGAAGUUAGUUUAAACCCAGAUCCGGAAGCACCAACAAUCGAUGGUAUUUUAAUUCCAGGGGUACAAGUCGAUGGUGGCUCAAGUGUGAAUUUAAUGAACUUGGAUACAAUGGAGGACUUGGAUCUAAAGCAAUUGCUACCUACCACAUUGGUAUUACGAAUGGCAGAUCAUAGCCAAGUUAAACCAAUUGGUAUCUUACGGAGUGUUCAAACUAUGAUUGUCGAUAUUGCAUAUGAAAUCGACUAUAUCAUCUUUCGAUUACAAUGUUCGACUUUAUCAUAUCUAAUUUUAUUGGGACGACCUUGGCUUUAUCAAGCAAAGGCCAAGAAUAAUUGGGGUUGAGAUACUUUGACAAUUGACAAGGGCAGAGACAAAAUGGUGUUACAAAUGUACCCAGUACACUAUCACGGGGAGUCUCAAUUGCUAGCAUCUGAAUUAACAUCGGAUGAUUAGCUUAGCUCUGAUGACGACACAGUAGCACCAAUUACGAAGGCGCCCAUAGAGGCAGCACUAUACCCUGGAGUGGUGUACCAAUGUGGAGGUCCGGGAGAGUACUUGAUAUACCCGACAGACUUAAAAAACUUGGAUUAUGUUAGUACUAAUUGGAUGACCAAGUAUGAUAUGUACCAUGUUAAUGCCCUGGACACAGGAUUCAGUACUUUAUACAUGUCGAACUUACCAACUGACUUUAAACCAGUGCGGAGGUUGAAACAGAACAUCGCCGUUGCACCUUUAUGUCAAACUAUCAACUUGGUGACCACAGUAGAACCUCGGACAAUUAAGGUCUACGAAAGUAUUAAGAAACAAGAGUUGACAUACUGGACCGAAUUUUUCUUGCAUCAUAAAUCCGCUUUUGCUUGAACUUAUGAUGAUUUAAAAGGUAUCUCUACUGAAGUCUGUCAGCAUCGUAUCAUUUUAGAGGAGAAUGCUAAAUCGGUACGGUAGAUGCAACAUCGCCUUAAUCCUAAAUAUUCUCUCAUGGUGAAGGAGGAAUUGGACAAGCUUCUUGCGGUUGGUUUUAUUUACAUGGUACUAAAUAGUGAGUGGGUGUCGCCAAUUGUGAGGGUACGAAAAAAGAAUGGAAAAAUGUGAAUUUGUCAGGAUUUCCAGAAACUUAAUGCGGCCACCAAGAAAGAUUACUUCUCAUUACCUUUCACGGACAGUAUGGAUAACAUAUUGGUAUUAUCACCAGAUAGUAAAAAAAUAGGAGUGGAGCACCAGUUAAAGUCAUUAUGUGGUGUUAUUUUGAGUUGGCUGGAGUGCCAUUUUCUUGUAUUUCUUGUGUUUUUGAGAGUAGUAGUUCCAGUUAAGAGUUAACAGUGAGGAGCCAGUCACAAGAAAGAGAACGCAUGGUGGAGACCCACAAACAAGAACUAUUUUGCACUCAUAGUCAUUCAAUUUUGGAACUGAAAAAAGUGAAGGGUCAGUUGGUAAUGGUACGAGAAAAGACCGAGUUAUUGACGCAAGAGAAAUUGGUAUUGAGUGACCAAUACAGAUGUGAAACGGAGCAGUUAAGGGCUAAAAUUGAGACCUUGAACACUAAGGUGAUAAGAUUGGCAGAGGAUUUAGUUAAUAUUGGUCAAGCACAUGUAUCGACAUUGCCAGUUCUCGAAGUUCCAGAAGAGAGAAGUCACUUUGAGCGCCAAUUGGAAUUGAGAGAUGCCCAGAUCGUGAAAUUGGAAGCUCAAGUCCGUGAACUGGGCAAGUACAAUGAAGACCUUUCAGCUCAGUUGAGGCAAGAGCCGAUGGAAGGAUUGAAGAGGACGAAGAUUUACAGUUGGAACCGGAAUUAGUGGAACCAAUAACAGAUACUGCGGCAAUUGAUUAAUUAGAUAGGCCAAAGGGAUCGCACUUUUUGUAGAGUUUUGUUAGGUAAUUUUUAGAUAGGUAUCCAUUGAGUAUUUGUAAGGACGCUGCACAGUUAGGAGUGGGGCUAUGUAGAAUAAGUAGUUAUUUUCAGAAUGUAGAUAACCAGUGUAUAGUGUAAACAGGGAUAGAUAACUGCUGAAAAGGUGAUUCAAUAAGUAGAAUGGAUGAAUAGUCAGGAAAAGUAGUUAUCAUCUGUACUAUAGGAGUUGGUAUCUCGGGGUAGUAUAAAGAGGAUGAGAGAGGAGAAGAAAAUGCCAGACUGUGAGAGUUGUGAGCCGAGGAUCAGAUUGUGAGAGUUGUGAGCCGGAGGCCAGAUUAUGAGAGUUGUGAGUCGGGGGCCAAACUGUGAGAGUUGUGAGGCAAGGGCCAGAUUGUGAGAGUUGUGAGCCAGAGUAAGCUUGGUGCUACCUCUUUUCUUUUGUUUGUUAUUUUCUUUAAAUAAGAGGAUUGAAAGUUUCUGAAUAUUGUGAAGUGAAUUAUGGAAUAGAAAUGUGAUUGGUAUUAUUUAAGAAGAAGAAAGAUUGAAUGCUGAAAUCUGAUUGUAGUUUAGCAGAGAGAAUGAGUCUGUAUUUGUGUGAAAUACUGUAAUGUGAAUGGCAAUUAUAUGUGAAGAAUUCCAGUGAUUGGAACGAGGGUAAUUGUGUGUUGAAAGCUGUGAGGGCGCAAUAUUACAGUUGGAGAUUAUGAGGGUGAAUAUAUUAGUAGAAAUAGCAGUUAUUGGUAUGACUGAAUUGCUGUAAGGAAGAGAUCGAUAAGGUGAAGGAAGAGAUUGUAGUUUCGUUAAGUGUUCAGAUAUUGAAAAUAGAGACGAUACAUUUAGGAGGUAAUUGAUUGUGUGACACUAACAUGAACGCUUAAGCAACUAGUCAUUCCCCAUGUUUGAAUCUCCCUAUACGGGUUUAUGCUAGGAGGUUUCUUCCAGAAUAAGUAAAACGAGAAAUCACACCUACUAAAAAUUUUCUUGAUUGAAAAGCUAUUGGAUGAAGUUUGUCAUGUAAUCCUAUUUGUGAUAAGAUUGCAUCCAAAGCAAAGUUAAAUGCAUCUACCUCCAUAAAAAAUUGCUUUGGA